UACAGAGACUGCAAGCGUUAUUCGGAUUCACUGGGCGUAAAGGGUGCGCAGGCGGCCAAGUGUGUGAGGCGUGAAAGCCCGGGGCUUAACCCCGGAAUUGCACCUCAAACUACAUGGCUAGAGCAUUGGAGAGGGUAGCGGAAUUCACGGUGUAGCAGUGAAAUGCGUAGAUAUCGUGAGGAACACCAGAGGCGAAGGCGGCUACCUGGACAAUUGCUGACGCUCAGGCACGGAAGCGUGGGGAGCAAAAGGG
rnacentral:rRNA from 1 species